GUAGAUGUCGUUUUCUCUCUCUCUCUCUCUCUCUCUUCGAAUUGCAGAUUCUCUCUCAUCCACCAAUUCAUGUAUCUGUAUUUAACUAUUUAUUGACUCUAUCUAUUUCAAAUCUAAAAUCAGAAUAUUCGAAUUUCACCGCUUCGAAACCCUUCCGUUUAUCGCUUUAUCCCCAAAUUCUGAAAUCCAAAUAAUCUUCGCUGUUCUCAAGUAAUCUCUCCUUCAUCACAGCACCAAGCAAUCUUCGUCGUCUUCAUUUCUCUGUCACUAGGCAAAGACGAAAACUAGGGUUUGUAGCUGUAGUUCUCAUCAUUUGAAGAUAAUUCACUAUGAAGUUCCUGGAGUGUCCUUCCUUGGAUCGGUAUUUGUAGUUUCAAACGAAUUUGAGUUAAAUUAUGGAAUUUUAUUACAUAAUUUUGGUAUAUUGCAAGAGUCUCGUGAAACUUGUCCAGGCUUAACGAUUUUUUGGUGAUUUGAAUUUGGGAGAACGUAAUAUCAGAGGAUGUCUUGAAGCAUAUACUUGUAAGGACUAAUUAGUGACUUUUAAGUUUCAACAGAAUUGAUUUUGGAUU